CCCUUCGGGGGGACGACGGUGGAAUGAGCGGCGGACGGGUGAGUAACACGUAAAGAACCUGCCCAUAGGUCUGGGAUAACCACGAGAAAUCGGGGCUAAUACCGGAUGUGUCAUCGGACCGCAUGGUCCGCUGAUGAAAGGCGCUCCGGCGUCGCCCAUGGAUGGCUUUGCGGUGCAUUAGCUAGUUGGUGGGGUAACGGCCCACCAAGGCGACGAUGCAUAGCCGACCUGAGAGGGUGAUCGGCCACACUGGGACUGAGACACGGCCCAGACUCCUACGGGAGGCAGCAGUAGGGAAUCUUCCACAAUGGACGAAAGUCUGAUGGAGCAACGCCGCGUGAACGAUGAAGGCUUUCGGGUCGUAAAGUUCUGUUGUAAGGGAAGAACAAGUGCCGCAGGCAAUGGCGGCACCUUGACGGUACCUUGCGAGAAAGCCACGGC
rnacentral:rRNA from 1 species